GUUCUAGGGGAAGAGACAGUUAAUAAACAGCUUAAUGUAACCGUGCCAAGUACCAAUUAUUGCCAUGAAGAAAAAUAAAGCAGGAUUCUGGCCUGUAUUGUCUUUGAGAAAUAAGUAAAGAGCUGUCUAUCUGGUCUCCCUGCAAUUUUCAUUAUCCUGGACUCUAAAUGACUUCUUCAUGAUGAAAUGCCCCAGUUGCCCCAAAUCAGGUUUUAGGAUGGUAAUAAAAGAGAACAGAGAUGACAAAACAGUGCUUUGUUAAUGGCUUCAAUUUGCUACGUCAAGGUAAAGAAAAUCUUAGAUCAAACAUCGAGCUCCGUUUCUACAAAUGAUGCCACUGUUUAAGGCAAAAAAUGUUAGUCCCUGAAGCUAAGAAGCAGUAACUUGAUGAGGAAACAAAGGAUGGAAAAAGUGCACCACAUACCUCUAAAUCAUAGAUGGAACAGCUAGUGGGGAAGAAGUACAAGUGACUCAAAAGAAAAAAAGUGAGCCGUUGUAAGUAUUAAGAGUUGAGGAAGAAAAAAAGAGAAAGAAACCAUUCAGAGGGUGAUGAUCAGUCAAACAUAUGUGCAAAAGAAAACUUGCCUCCAUCAGCAAAAUGCACAAAUUAAUAAUUUACCAGUAAGUGGUAAAGGCAUU